AUUGAACGCUGGCGGCAGGCCUAACACAUGCAAGUCGAAUGGUAACAGGAAACAGCUUGCUGUUUCGCUGACGAGUGGCGGACGGGUGAGUAAUGUCUGGGAAACUGCCUGAUGGAGGGGGAUAACUACUGGAAACGGUAGCUAAUACCGCAUAACGUCGCAAGACCAAAGAGGGGGACCUUCGGGCCUCUUGCCAUCAGAUGUGCCCAGAUGGGAUUAGCUAGUAGGUGGGGUAACGGCUCACCUAGGCGACGAUCCCUAGCUGGUCUGAGAGGAUGACCAGCCACACUGGAACUGAGACACGGUCCAGACUCCUACGGGAGGCUGCAGUGGGGAAUAUUGCACAAUGGGCGCAAGCCUGAUGCAGCCAUGCCGCGUGUAUGAAGAAGGCCUUCGGGUUGUAAAGUACUUUCAGCGGGGAGGAAGGGAGUAAAGUUAAUACCUUUGCUCAUUGACGUUACCCGCAGAAGAAGCACCGGCUAACUCCGUG
rnacentral:rRNA from 1 species